CUUCCACUCAAUCAAGCAGGCACACACACUUCCACCAAACAGAAGAAUGCUUUUAAGCCAUGGUGGUGCUCCUGGGAGCAGUGUGACAUUUUCACGAUGGGCAGCUGGAAGUUUUACCCUGUUGAAGUGACGGUUCCUGGUGAGUCCAAACCCACACAAAUCAGAGGAUGAAACAGGCUACGUAAAGCCAAAAUUCCAGACACAGUUCUUAAAUCUUUCCCAGAAACAGAGUGGCACUGAAGAAAAGCUUGAAAAAAUUCUUAUUCCUUUGGAAAUAGAGUCCUCCAUUUUGCCAUCUGUCUUCAUCAGACUUAUCCUGACCAGAAGCAUUUAAAAUA